UACGUAGGGGGCAAGCGUUGUCCGGAAUCAUUGGGCGUAAAGAGCGUGUAGGCGGCUUGGUAAGUCCGCUGUGAAAGUCCAGGGCUCAACCCUGGAAAGCCGGUGGAAACUGUCAAGCUUGAGUCCGGAAGAGGCGAGUGGAAUUCCUGGUGUAGCGGUGAAAUGCGCAGAUAUCAGGAGGAACACCGGUGGCGAAGGCGGGUCUCUGGGCCGAUACUGACGCUGAGGGGCGAAAGCGUGGGUAGCAAACAGG
rnacentral:rRNA from 1 species